rnacentral:tRNA from 1 species
CGGGGCGUGGCGCAGUUUGGUAGCGCACCAGCAUGGGGUGCUGGGGGCCGCUGGUUCGAGUCCAGUCGCCCCGACCA